rnacentral:rRNA from 1 species
UACAGAGGUCUCAAGCGUUGUUCGGAUUCAUUGGGCGUAAAGGGUGCGUAGGUGGCGCCAUAAGUCAGGUGUGAAAUCUCGGGGCUCAACCCCGAAACUGCACUUGAUACUGUGGUGCUUGAGUACUGGAGAGGAGAUUGGAAUUUACGGUGUAGCAGUGAAAUGCGUAGAUAUCGUAAGGAAGACCAGUGGCGAAGGCGAAUCUCUGGACAGUUACUGACACUGAGGCACGAAGGCCAGGGGAGCAAACGGG